UUUACUGUGGAAAACAUGUGAAAUAAACACAAACAUUGUUUUGUCAAUCUUGUCCAGUAAAGGUGUUUAAAAAAUUAUGUUUUCGAAAUUUAAAAACUACACCUGCGUGGUGUUUUUUUUAGCGUGUUCCUAAGUCUGCCAAAAACAAAAACAAAAUCUCCUUGGUGCGACGGCCACAAAAUUUUCAUCUCCAGUUGCUGCUAGUUUUGUGCGACCAAAUCUAUGGCAUUAUUCGCAUCAUCCGGUACCGGAUCCAGGAUUGCUGCUGGGUUCGAGAUGCUGCCGCUGAACAAGAAAGCAGCUGGAAAAUCAACCGGCAAAACAUCCAAAGCAGCCGCCACGGAACGAUAUAAACAACGUUUCCGUCUACAAAUCUGCAUAGACGACUCGACAGGAUAAAAUACCGAAAUAUGGACAGUUCCAUUCGCCGCCUAGGUAAGCUACAAAUUCGAAUGGAAACUGGAAAAGGAUCGAUAAGUGAUACAUUUCAGUCUCCGCAACCAGGGAUCAUUCGGUUUGCAGCUUCAGGAUGGAUACUUACACGAAGUGUUUUAUUUUGUGCAAGGACGGCGUGAAGCUACUGGACAGACAAACUUCUGAUUGUCAAGAGUUUUGGUGUAUUUAUAGUGUUUAUAUUUCGGGGAAUAAAAUAAAAGUGUGUUGAGCAAUUAAUUUAUAACGCACAAUGAAAUAA